rnacentral:rRNA from 1 species
GAGUUUGAUCCUGGCUCAGGAUGAACGCUAGCGGCAGGCUUAAUACAUGCAAGUCGAGGGGCAGCAGCUUUAUAGCAAUAUAGAGGCUGGCGACCGGCAAACGGGUGCGRAACACGUACACAACCUUCCUUGAAUAGGGGGAUAGCCCAUAGAAAUGUGGAUUAAUACCCCGUAAUAUAGCGGUGUGGCAUCACACUGUUAUUAUAGUUUCGGCGAUUCKAGAUGGGUGUGCGGCUGAUUAGGUAGUUGGCGGGGUAAAGGCCCACCMAGCCUUCGAUCASUAGCUGAUGUGAGAGCAUGAUCAGCCACACGGGCACUGAGACACGGGCCCSACUCCUACGGGAGGCAKCAGUAAGGAAUAUUGGUCAAUGGACGCAAGUCUGAACCAGCCAUGCCGCGUGAAGGAWGAAGGUCCUCUGGAUUGYAAACUUCUUUUAUAGGGGGCGAAAAAAGGUCUU